CAUGCAAGUCGAACGAAGAACCCCCUCUGGGUAACCAAAGGGGAAUUCUUAGUGGCGAACGGGUGAGUAACACGUGAGAAACCUGCCCCGGAGACCGGGAUAGCCCAGGGAAACCUGGAUUAAUACCGGAUACCCUCGAUUGGUCGCAUGUCCGAUCGAGGAAAAGGUCCGCUGCUCCGGGAUGGUCUCGCGUCCUAUCAGCUAGUUGGUGAGGUAACGGCUCACCAAGGCAACGACGGGUAGCUGGUCUGAGAGGACGAUCAGCCACACUGGGACUGAGACACGGCCCAGACUCCUACGGGAGGCAGCAGCAGGGAAUUUUGCACAAUGGGCGCAAGCCUGAUGCAGCGACGCCGCGUGGGGGAUGAAUGCCUUCGGGUUGUAAACCCCUUUCAGGAGGGACGAAGCGAAAGUGACGGUACCUCCAGAAGAAGCCCCGGCCAACUACGUGCCAGCAGCCGCGGUAAUACGUAGGGGGCGAGCGUUGUCCGGAUUUAUUGGGCGUAAAGAGCUCGUAGGCGGCUCAGCAAGUCGGCCGUGAAAGCCUGAGGCUCAACCUCAGGACGCCGGUCGAAACUGCUGUGGCUAGGGUUCGGUAGAGGAGAGUGGAAUUCCCGGUGUAGCGGUGAAAUGCGCAGAUUUCGGAAGGAACACCAGUG
rnacentral:rRNA from 1 species